UGACGUGUGUUCCUCUUCCUGGCAGCAGUGAGUCAGGAGGAUUUUAACACGUCACAGAGAGAUUCGGGUCUUUUUCACCCAGAAAGCUUCAAGCUGACGCUAAAUCAAAGCUUCCUGGUUUUGCAAGAUCCAACAAAC